UACAGAGGUCCCAAGCGUUGUUCGGAUUCACUGGGCGUAAAGGGUGCGUAGGUGGUGAGGCAAGUUCGGUGUGAAAUCUCCGGGCUUAACCCGGAAAUGGCAUUGAAAACUGCCUUGCUAGAGGGUUGGAAGGGAGACUGGAAUUCUUGGUGUAGCAGUGAAAUGCGUAGAUAUGCGGAGGAACACCGAUGGCGAAGGCAAUCACCUGGGCCUGAACUGACACUGAGACACGAAAGCGUGGGUAGCAAACAGG
rnacentral:rRNA from 1 species